AUACUGUUUUCCAUUUGUUUGCUUGCUUGCAGUCCUGUCUCUUUUAAAACUGUGUUCAGUUGUCUGGCAUAGUGCCAGACAAUGAUAAUUUUUCAAUAAUCCCCAGACCAAUGUAGUAUUCCUGACUGGGUGCAGUAAUACCAGUAGUUCACCACCAGGACUGUGGGGCAUCUCCACCCUGCCGUUGCUCAUUCUCUUUGUAAUUCCCUGUUGUCAAGGAGAGGGUAAUCUGUCGCACCUGUGGCACUGGGAAUCCUGCUCAUCUGAGAUACUGUGUCACCUGUGAGGGACCCCUGCCUCCAACACAAGAGGUAGGUGGGCUGCAGUGUGAAUGUCCUAUCUGCGGUAGCCUCUAAGUUUUGUUUGCUGAAAUAAGCUUUGACAGGCAGAUACACUAAGGAAGAAGGCUGGAGUCAGUGAUUACUCACUCAGCAGGCUUUUCUCUGAGGGAACAAAACUUAAUUGUCUAGGACCAUCGAAAAGGGUGAAAACAAGUGCACACACACACACACACACACAAAACCUUGGUAGAUGAAGCAAGGCUCCGACAAGCUCCAGCAACUAUUUUUUCUGCCAUAGCUUAUAUAUUCCGGAAAAAUGUUUAAGACAAUAUAAAAAUUACAGUGUGGUUUCAUCCUGUUUUUCUUCAAGUGAAUGAUUACAAAGAGUAUAGGUUAAAAAAAAAAAAGCCCAGCAUGUCCCCAAUACCCUUACAUGACUAAAUGUUUUACAUAUUACAGGUGAAAAAAACCCAAAUUAUUCCCAAGGCCCCACAUACAUUUAUGUUUAAGUAACUUGUCAUAGGUUAACAAAGUGUAAGCAGGCAGGUUAUUGUCUCAGGCAGGUCUCUCCCUGGCAGGCUGUAAUUUGCAGUUACAAAGAAAAGAUCAGUCAUCUUAUUAUUUAUCUUAAAGAAUACACUCAUCAAAAUCUUAAGAAAAUCACAAAUCUAAGCUUUUAAAUAAAAACCAGGCUCUUGUGCUUUAAAUCCUCCAGGUGCACAUAACUCAUUAGCAUUGUUUUAUUAAGUCAUAUCCGGAAGGAGAGGGGAAAGACGGGUACACCGAACUAACCGUGGCCUUGCUCACCAGCCCAGCUUUAGGAAGAACGUCACAGGAGCUAGUGCUAGUCAGGCUGCCAUCGCUCUUCUGCCCUGACCUCAAAACUCCCACACUCAACUAUCAAGAGUGUGCCUCUCUGAACUUUAAAUUAUUCCCCAAGAUUUUGUACAUCGAAGCCACUAACAAAAACAUGUUUACUUCACCAACAAUCUACAGCUCUGCCUUCUUUUUAAGGGUGGUUGUUGAAUCAUUAAUCUGCAGCAGCACCAAUACUUGGAGAAGAUCAGUGUCUGUUAUUGUAAAUGCCAACGACACUGCCUGCUGAGGGGCUGGACACCCCCUUAGAGUUUUCCCACAGGCAUAGAUUGGGAGGGAUGAGAUGACUGGGAGGGCAACAAGCAGAGCAGAACGCCAUAAGAGCAUGAAGUCCUCAGGACACAUGGUCAUCAGGGCUCUGCCUCCCAAGGCUCACCCAUCUCGGCUGUGCUAACCAGUGGGCCGAAUUCCGAGAGUUCUAAAGCCGCUCUGUCUUCCUUCUGCAUGGUCCCAACAGUUGAUGUUAGUGGAGAAGUAAGACAUACAGAGAGAGGAGAAAAAACAUUAUGAAACACAAAAUCGGGCUGCAAGCUGGCCCAGCAGAUGAAAGUGCUUGCCACUGAGUUCCAUGGACUGGAGAGUAGGGGUAAUUCUGAUACCUGAACAUGGGAUAGCUUUCCAUUUAUUUCUGUCUCCUAUUUCAUUUUUUAUACCAGUACAGGUGUUAUCAUACAUUUAACCCUAUAAUAUCACUCCUAUCCAACACCUCAUACAUGCUGCCUUAUGACAGCAUCUAUACUGUCCAUAGGGUCUGUGGUUAGAUGCUUCUCUUACCUUGAUAGAAUGGGUGCCCUGUCCCAUCCUCCCAUCAGGAUGUGUGACCUUUGUCGUCUUUUAAAGUCUUCACAUUUUACAUCCUGGUUUUCAUUUUGUUUUUUAUUAUUUUCUUCUCUUUGCUUUGAUUUUAAUUUGAGCCUCUUUUUUAAAUUUCUUUUUACGUAUUUGUUUGCUUGUUUCAUUUUAUUUUAUUUUAUUUUAUUAGACAGGGUUUCAUUAUGUAACUCUGGCUGGCCUGGAACUCACUAUAUUGAUGAGGCUCACAAAGAUCUGCCCCUCAGCUUCCUGAUUAAGUGGGAUCAAAGGUGUAUGUCACCAUGCCUGGCCUUUUUUUCCCUUCACAUUUUCUAUUUAGGAUGUGUGCACAUAUAUGCACUGCUGGGCUUUCUGUUUGUUUGCAUUUGUUUUUGUUUUGUUUUGUUUUUUUGUUUUUCUAUUUCUUCUAGUAAGUUUUGAAGAAGAGUCAGUAAAUAAUUAGAUAUAAGCAUAAAACAUGAAAAGUUUCAAGCAGUGAUAAAAGAAAUAGAGGAAAAUCUGAGCAUUGUAACAAGCCAGCAGGAGGGUUGGGUGGGAGAAGCAUGGAUUCCGUGCCAGCCUUGGCUACACAGCAAGACUCUGUCUCAAAAGUGAAAGAAAAAAAAGAAAGAAUAAAAUUUAAGACAGGGAUAAAUGGAAGGUUGGCCCAUGUUCAGGCAUCAGAAGAAUUAACAUAGAUAAAAUGUCUGCAGUUUCCAAAGCAGUCUACAGAUUCGGGGAAAUACUGUCAAAUUUUCAAUGACUUUAUUUAUUUAUUUAUUUAUUUAUUUAUUUAUUUAUUUAUUUACAAAAUGGAGAAAAUAAUCCUGAAGUUCACAUGGAAUUAGAAAAGACUUGGAAUGGUCAAAGCAAUCUUAAACCAAAAGAACAAAGCUAAAGACGUCAUACUUCCUG
rnacentral:lncRNA from 1 species